rnacentral:misc_RNA from 1 species
CUCUCUCUCUCUCUCUCUCUCUCUCAUCCUCUCCCCUCUUGUUGGUGUGGAUUGAAGAAGCAGGUAAAUUUUAGCAUUCAAGUUGGGGAGAAUUGGCCAUGGCCGGAGAACAAUUGGGAGUGCUUAAUGCACUCGAUGUUGCGAAGACUCAAUGGUACCAUUUCACAGCAAUUGUGAUUGCUGGAAUGGGUUUUUUCACAGAUGCAUACGAUCUUUUUU